rnacentral:rRNA from 1 species
UACGUAGGGGGCAAGCGUUGUCCGGAAUCAUUGGGCGUAAAGAGCGCGUAGGCGGUCCGGUAAGUCCGCUCUGAAAGUCCGGGGCUCAACCCCGGGAGGCGGGCGGAUACUGUCGGGCUAGAGUCCGGAAGAGGAGAGUGGAAUUCCUGGUGUAGCGGUGAAAUGCGUAGAUAUCAGGAGGAACACCUGUGGCGAAAGCGGCUCACUGGACCAUAACUGACGCUGAUGCACGAAAGCUAGGGGAGCAAACAGG